rnacentral:rRNA from 1 species
GACAGAGGGUGCAAACGUUGUUCGGAAUUACUGGGCGUAAAGCGUGUGUAGGCGGCCGCGCAAGUCGGAUGUGAAAGCCCUGGGCUCAACUCAGGAAGUGCAUUCGAAACUGCAGAGCUUGAGUACCGGAGAGGGUGGCGGAAUUCCCCAAGUAGAGGUGAAAUUCGUAGAUAUGGGGAGGAACACCGGUGGCGAAGGCGGCCACCUGGACGGUCACUGACGCUGAGACGCGAAAGCGUGGGUAGCAAACAGG